rnacentral:rRNA from 1 species
GCAGUGCUAGUGCUACACAUGCAGUCGAACGAUGGAUACCCGCGUUAUACGGGCGGGGAUUAGUGGCGAACGGGUGAGUAACACGUGGGCAAUCUGCCCUGCACUCUGGGACAAGCCCUGGAAACGGGGUCUAAUACCGGAUAUGACUGUCCGCCGCAUGGUGGAUGGUGUAAAGCUCCGGCGGUGCAGGAUGAGCCCGCGGCCUAUCAGCUUGUUGGUGAGGUAGUGGCUCACCAAGGCGACGACGGGUAGCCGGCCUGAGAGGGCGACCGGCCACACUGGGACUGAGACACGGCCCAGACUCCUACGGGAGGCAGCAGUGGGGAAUAUUGCACAAUGGGCGAAAGCCUGAUGCAGCGACGCCGCGUGAGGGAUGACGGCCUUCGGGUUGUAAACCUCUUUCAGCAGGGAAGAAGCGAGAGUGACGGUACCUGCAGAAGAAGCGCCGGCUAACUACGUGCCAGCAGCCGCGGUAAUACGUAGGGCGCAAGCGUUGUCCGGAAUUAUUGGGCGUAAAGAGCUCGUAGGCGGCUUGUCACGUCGGUUGUGAAAGCCCGGGGCUUAACCCCGGGUCUGCAGUCUAUACGGACAUGCUACAGUUCCGGUAGGGGCACAUCCGGAAUUGCCUGGUGUAACGGGUGAAAUGGCGCAAAUAUCCAGGAGGGAAAAUCUGGGUGGCCGAAGGGCGGGAUCCCCUGGGUUCCGAAU